ACUAAAGAACUUUUUUCUUCUUUUCAGAUACUGAAAAAUAUCACUUGGUAUGCUGAGCGUGUUUUAACAGAGAUCUCGCUUGGGAGUCUCCUGAUACUAGUUGUGAUAAGAACCAUCCAGUACAACAUGACACGGACAAGGGACAAAUACCUUCAUACAAAUUGUCUGGCUGCCUUAGCAAACAUGUCAGCGCAGUUCCGCUCUCUUCAUCAGUAUGCUGCUCAGAGGAUCAUCAGACUUAAUUUAAGAGUGCUAGAAACUGCAUAGAGCUGCUGCUGAUGGACAGGUCAGCCUUCCUUCCAUCCUCUGCAUGUGGGGGCUUAGACUGACUCUUUGGCCGAAGAACGGGACACUUUAGGACAUUGAAUUUUCUUCAGAGAAACAUGAAAAAGAGCAGGUUUGGAAGAUCUUCAGCAAAGCGUAAUUUCUUCGUUGAUUUUGUUUAUCAGUGUGUUUCAUGCAAUGUCCUCUGAGGACCUCAGGCAGUCAGGAGAGAGACUUCCUAAAGCUGCAGAAAGCCUCUGCACCCAUUCACAUGAGCAGCAGCACAGCUCCCAGCUAGCCUCCAGCUCCCCAGGGCUGUAGACAUCUAAUUCCCAUUGAUCUUAAAGUGUUUCUUUGCCUUUGCUUAAGUAAAAUUCACCAGGAAGCCUUAACCAAUUGAGAUUGUCCAGACUCUGUAGAAAGGACGCUUUUGCCUUCAUUAGAGCUGCACUAAAUUAAAAAUAAAAUACAUAUAUAUUGGG